rnacentral:lncRNA from 1 species
UCCUUAAUUGUAAUUUUAUAGAAAGGGGGAUUUUGUAAGAAUAAUGCAGGGGUGCCAAUAGUUCGCCUCAUAAUGUAAACAUUAAUUUGAAUUUCAAGUGUCACAAAAUCCAUUAAAGAAAAAUCAAUUAGAUAAAACUCAAUAGGAUGAGUAGCGUUGUUCUUUUGUGAAGGAGAGUUAAGGUCCUAUGGAUUUCAAAAUAAUAAUAUUUUUUUGGAGUAACUUUUGAAAAAUCAAGCUAGUGUUGAACUCUAACGUGUCAUCGCCACUGCAUAUCAUAACAUCAUUUAAUUGUUAUAUAAUGAACAUGAUACAUGUUAUGUAUAUUAGAAUUUCGCCUCAACCGCAGCUUCUAAACCAAACUUAUACGCGACUGCCUCAUCAUAGUCAAUGUCCUCAGGAUCAUUAAACACAUCACCUGCAACCAACAUAUCACUUUCCCUCAAAAUCACAAACAACCAGCACCAAAAUCUAGCUAAUCCCCGAGCUCCGAUAUCCACUGUUGUACACUUGUGCUUGCAUCAAUAUUUGAUCUAAAUGUGCAAACCAAUUUAAAUAUGUAAAAAACCAUCUCAAAAAGCAUAUUGUUGAUCACAUUUAAUUUUUUAUCAUUAGUUUUGUUUUUUUCCUCCCCUAUUUAUUAAAGAAAUGAAUAUCUCAAUGACCUAAAUUCAUUUGAAAAUUACAUAUGGAAUUUCAGCUUUUAGGAGAGUUUGCUUUGAGCUAUGAAAUUGUGGUGUAUAUAAUGUGGAAUCCUAAUUUCCUCUAUUUUUAAUUUUUAUAAUAUGGUAGUGAAUAUAUUUACAUUGCAUAGUAUAGAGUCAAUGACCAAAAAAAAAAUAUUAAUAUUGAUAAAAAGUAAUAUAAAUAAGGGAUAAUAUAAAAUCUUGAAUGAAAAUUUGUGAUUGCCUCAAUUAUUUGGACAAAUAGCACCUUUAUUUUAUGAAUAAACCACAAAUGGAAGUGCCUCGAUUAUAAUGCAUUUAUUUCAUUAUUUAUAUAAAAGAACUUGCUUUUUCUUUUGUCAAACGAUUUCGAAGACUAAUAAAUAUGAUUUUGUUGAUGAUUUAUAAAGUAUGACUUUUAGAUACUUUCAUAGAUUAUGUUCUAAUGUUUAUAACACUAACCUUUUUGUUUUUUAUAAACUUAUGUGCCAAUAAUAUGAUUUUAUAUUUUUAUUGUGAUAUGAUUAUAACAAAUUUAAAAAAUAAAAUUAUCAAUUAAUCAAAUUCAUUUCGGAUAGAAUGAGCAAAUUAAUUUAUUUUGACGUCAUAAUUUUUAUUUUUAUUUAUAUGAAAAUAUUCUUAAUAUAAAGACCUUGGUCCUGUACAAGUUGCAAAAAUUAGCUAACUAAUCUUCAAGAAGUGCGAGAAAAUGAUUACACCGAAAUAACCUGAUCAGCAGAUUUACAAAGAAAAAGCUUAAUUUAUUAAGGCAGAUACAAUCCCACUUCAUGAACGUCUUUGCUUCUAUUUUUUUUUUCAAUUUCUGUGGAUGAUGUUGGGAUUUAUAAAUCAAUUUCAGCACGUCACAAAAAGAUUUUGAUCAAGUGAAAAAAAAAAAAAUUAUGGAGCAUUAGUUUAUAUUAUCAUUUCUCGUUGUUCAUACCACAUUAUAAUCAUAUGAAUUACAAUAUUAUGUUAAAAAAAUUAUCUUUUUUAACCAUUU